UAAACGUGUGAAUUUCUGAUUGCAGUUAAACUAGGACCACGAUUUACAAACUAAAAGGGACAGUUUGGAAUGAGUAGCUUACCUCAAAACUCUGAAGCGACUCAGUUUCCACUGGAGCAAUCGACAAUUCAAACAUGACGUGCUUCACUGGUGGAGAGAUGGGCAGCUCAACCAUGAUGGGUUUCACUGGUGGAGAGAUGGGCAGCUCAACCACAACAGGCUUCACUGGUGGAGAGAUGGGCAGCUCAACAGCGAUGGGCUCCACUGGUGGAGAGAUAGGCAGCUCAACCACGAUGGGCUUCACUGGUGGAGAGAAGGGCAGCUCAACCAUGAUGGGUUUCACUGGUGGAGAGAUGGGCAGCUCAACCAUGAUGGGUUUCACUGGUGGAGAGAUGGGCAGAUCAACCUUGAUGGGUUUCACUGGUGUAGAGUUGGGCAGCUCCAUCACGAUGGGCUUCACUGGUGGAGAGAUGGGCAGCUCAACCACAAUGGGCUCCACUGGUGGAGAGAUGGGCCGUUCAAUCACAAUGGGAUUAGGUGGUGGGGAGAUGGGCAGCUCAACCACAAUGGGCUCCACUGGUGGAGAGAUGGGCAGCUCAACCACAAUGGGCUCCACUGGUGGAGAUAUGGGCAGCUCAACCACAAUGGGCUUCACUGGUGGAGAGUUGGGCAGCUCAACCACAAUGGGCUUCACAAGUGGAGAAAUGGGCAGCUCAACAAAAAUGGGAUUCACUGGUGGAGAGAUGGGCAGCUCAACCACAAUGGACUUCACUGGUGGAGAGUUGGGCAGCUCCAUCACGAUGAUAUUAACUGGUGGAGAGAUGUGCUCCUCAACCCCGAUGGGCUCCACUGGAGGUGUAGGGAAGACAUUCUGGGCCCUUUGACAUCUCUGAGUUGUAGGUGGAGGGAAAUAAUCCGAUAGGGAGGGAGGAGGCAGGGUAGUUCUGGCCUGUGGAACUGAAGUUUCCAUGUCUUUCUUUCUUUUUUUAUGUCGCUGUGUCUGACCCUUCAGUGAAAUAAGUUUCGGCGGUGGUUGGACAAAUUGGGAAAGGACAUAAACAAAUCAAAAUGCAUUCGAGACAUACUAUAUGCCGAAUAUAACAAGUGUAGAC
rnacentral:lncRNA from 1 species